AAUAGGCAAUUAUAAACGGGCACAAAAUGCUUGCAAUAACGCUUAUGGAGGACCGCCAAGCUCAGAUUUAUCACUGAUAUGCGAAAGCUUGAAUUGUUUUUUACAAUGUCUGAAGGACGCAGUUUCGGAUUGUUGGAAAACUGACCAGCUUUUCACCUAUGACUUAAACACAACAGUAGUACAAUUUUGAGCAUUGUGCCAGGAUCUCAAAAAGACAAAAAGAGCGCAGACCGUUUGCGAUCCAACAUCAUGUAAGAAUCAAUACUUAAAUUCCAAUUAUACUGAAAGAAUGCGAGACUUAUUCAACAACGGAGAUUUUGCAGAGUAUAAGAAAUUACAAU